GACGAACGCUGGCGGCGUGCUUAACACAUGCAAGUCGAACGGUGAAAGCGGAGCUUGAUCCGCUGGAUCAGUGGCGAACGGGUGAGUAACACGUGGGCAACCUGCCCCUCACUUCGGGAUAACUCCGGGAAACCGGGGCUAAUACCGGAUAUGACCUCCUUGGGCACCCUUGGAGGUGGAAAGUUUUUUGGUGAGGGAUGGGCCCGCGGCCUAUCAGCUUGUUGGUGAGGUAGUGGAUCACCAAGGCGACGACGGGUAGCCGGCCUGAGAGGGCGACCGGCCACACUGGGACUGAGACACGGCCCAGACUCCUACGGGAGGCAGCAGUGGGGAAUAUUGCGCAAUGGGCGAAAGCCUGACGCAGCAACGCCGCGUGCGGGAUGACGGCCUUCGGGUUGUAAACCGCUUUCAGCAGGGAAGAAGCCGCAAGGUGACGGUACCUGCAGAAGAAGCACCGGCUAACUACGUGCCAGCCGCCGCCGUAA
rnacentral:rRNA from 1 species